AGUGAACGCUGGCGGUAGGCCUAACACAUGCAAGUCGAACGGCAGCACAGUAAGAGCUUGCUCUUACGGGUGGCGAGUGGCGGACGGGUGAGGAAUACAUCGGAAUCUACUUUUUCGUGGGGGAUAACGUAGGGAAACUUACGCUAAUACCGCAUACGACCUACGGGUGAAAGCAGGGGAUCUUCGGACCUUGCGCGAUUGAAUGAGCCGAUGUCGGAUUAGCUAGUUGGCGGGGUAAAGGUCCACCAAGGCGACGAUCCGUAGCUGGUCUGAGAGGAUGAUCAGCCACACUGGAACUGAGACACGGUCCAGACUCCUACGGGAGGCAGCAGUGGGGAAUAUUGGACAAUGGGCGCAAGCCUGAUCCAGCCAUACCGCGUGGGUGAAGAAGGCCUUCGGGUUGUAAAGCCCUUUUGUUGGGAAAGAAAAGCAGCAGGUUAAUACCCCGCUGUUCUGACGGUACCCAAAGAAUAAGCACCGGCUAACUUCGU
rnacentral:rRNA from 1 species